rnacentral:rRNA from 1 species
CUUUCGGGGUAUGGGAUGGGGUCGCGUCCUAUCAGCUUGACGGCGGGGUAACGGCCCACCGUGGCUUCGACGGGUAGCCGGCCUGAGAGGGCGACCGGCCACAUUGGGACUGAGAUACGGCCCAGACUCCUACGGGAGGCAGCAGUGGGGAAUAUUGCACAAUGGGCGCAAGCCUGAUGCAGCGACGCCGCGUAG